rnacentral:rRNA from 1 species
GACGAACGCUGGCGGCGUGCUUAACACAUGCAAGUCGAACGGAAAGGCCCUUCGGGGUGCUCGAGUGGCGAACGGGUGAGUAACACGUGGGUGAUCUGCCCUGCACUUUGGGAUAAGCCUGGGAAACUGGGUCUAAUACCGAAUAGGACCGCGCUCUUCAUGGGGUGGGGUGGAAAGCUUUGGCGGUGUGGGAUGGGCCCGCGGCCUAGCAGCUUGUUGGUGGGGUAAUGGCCUACCAAGGCGACGACGGGUAGCCGGCCUGAGAGGGUGACCGGCCACACUGGGACUGAGAUACGGCCCAGACUCCUACGGGAGGCAGCAGUGGGGAAUAUUGCACAAUGGGCGCAAGCCUGAUGCAGCGACGCCGCGUGAGGGAUGACGGCCUUCGGGUUGUAAACCUCUUUCAGUACCGACGAAGCGCAAGUGACGGUAGGUACAGAAGAAGGACCGGCCAACUACGUGCCAGCCGCCGCAGUAAUAC